rnacentral:misc_RNA from 1 species
AACGUCAAGGCGUUCGGAUGGCGAUUGCCGUUUCAUGUCUUCCCGGCGCAACUGGCGCAACUGCUUGUCAUCGCCAUGCUGGCCGCACUGCUUGCGACGUGCUUGCCGAUCCUGCGUCUGAUGCGCCUGCAACCUGCAACUCUUGCGAAGAUAUUCGCCAAUGAGCGCUGAUCUCCGCACCAGCCGCCGGGCAUUCCUCGGCGGCGGCCUGUUCA